rnacentral:rRNA from 1 species
GUCACUUACUUGGAGUCCGAACUCUCACUUUCUAACCCUGUGCAUCUGUUUUAAAAUUGGCUAGUAGCUCUUCGGAGCGAACCACCAUUUUUCACUUAUACAAACACAAAGUCUAUGAAUGUAAACAAAUUUAUAACAAAACAAAACUUUCAACAACGGAUCUCUUGGCUCUCGCAUCGAUGAAGAACGCAGCGAAAUGCGAUACGUAAUGUGAAUUGCAGAAUUCAGUGAAUCAUCGAAUCUUUGAACGCACCUUGCGCUCCUUGGUAUUCCGAGGAGCAUGCCUGUUUGAGUGUCAUGAAAUCUUCAACCCACCUCUUUCUUAGUGAAUCUGGUGGUGCUUGGUUUCUGAGCGCUGCUCUGCUUCGGCUUAGCUCGUUCGUAAUGCAUUAGCAUCCGCAACCGAAACUUCGGAUUGACUUGGCGUAAUAGACUAUUCGCUGAGGAUUCCAGACUUGUUCUGGAGCCGAGUUGGGUUAAAGGAAGCUUCUAAUCCUAAAGUCUAUUUUUUGAUUAGAUCUCAAAUCAGGUAGGACUACCCGCUGAACUUAAGCAUAUCAAUAAGCCGGAGGAA